rnacentral:rRNA from 1 species
AUUCCAGCUCCAAUAGCGUAUAUUAAAGUUGUUGCAGUUAAAAAGCUCGUAGUUGGAUUUCUGUUAUUAAAAAUCGGUCGUGUCCUCACGGAUUCUGUACCAGGUUUCUUAAUUGCAUCUUCAAGGUUCUGGUAUCUGGUAUUAAUUUAUCGGGUAUUCGGUCCUUGUCAUUUACUGUGAGCAAAAUAGAGUGUUCAAAGCAGGCUUAGGCCAUGAAUACAUUAGCAUGGAAUAAUAAGAUAGGACCUUGGUCUAUUUUGUUGGUUUACAUUCCAAGGUAAUGAUUAAUAGGGAUAGUUGGGGGUAUUUGUAUUCAAUUGUCAGAGGUGAAAUUCUUGGAUUUAUGGAAGACAAACUACUGCGAAAGCAUUUACCAAGGAUGUUUUCAUCA